GGCGAUGGGGAGGCGGGCGCGGCUGCCCCCGGGGCUCUCCCGGGCCGUAACCCGCUGGGCGGCGGCGCGCUGAAGCGUGGGUUGAUGGGAGGCGGCAGUGGCGGUCCCUCGUCGCUGCUCCGCUCGGCGGAGCCUUCGUGCUCCUAAUCCUUCUCGCAGGUAACCGCACGGUGCCUCGGAUCGGCGGGAAGGAGCCGCGGGGUCUGCUGAGGCCGGGCUGCAGGAAAGCUCCCGGAGGAAAUGCCGGCUGGGAUGGCGCAGGAGCUGGAGGAGACUGACUCGUCCUCAGAGGAGGAGGAGGAGGAAGAUGCUGCAGAUGAGCUGGAGGAUCAUCCAUGCAUCAAGUGGACUGGUGGUGGAUGCAGGCGGAUUGCUGUCUUUGUGUUUCACGCCGAAGCCAUUCUGACCAACGACAGCUACCUCCGCCUAAUUGGAGAGCGCUACCGCUUGUCCUAUAAGAUUGUGCAAACAGACAGCCGUCUUGUUCGCAGCAUUCUGACUGCCCAUGGAUUCCAUGAAGUGCACCCUAACAGCAGCGAAUAUAAUCUCAUGUGGACAGGAUCACACUUGAAGCCCUACUUGCUGCGUUCCCUUACAGAUAUUCAGAAAGUCAAUCAUUUCCCUAGGUCUUAUGAACUGACACGAAAGGAUAGACUUUACAAGAAUGUCAGUCGUAUGCAGCUGGCCCAUGGAUUCAAGACAUUCCAUAUAUUACCUCAGACCUUUAUCCUCCCAACAGAGUACCAGGACUUCUGCAAUACCUAUUCUAAGGACAGAGGCCCAUGGAUAGUGAAGCCGGUGGCCUCUUCCAGAGGUCGAGGUGUCUACCUGAUAAACAAUCCAAACCAGAUUGUACUGGAAGACAACAUCCUGGUUUCUCGUUACAUCAGCAACCCUCUGCUCAUAGAUGAUUUCAAGUUUGACGUGCGCCUCUAUGUUCUGGUGACAUCCUAUGAUCCACUCGUCAUCUAUCUCUACGAGGAAGGAUUGGCCAGGUUUGCAACAGUGAGGUAUGACCAUGCAUCCAAGAACAUUAAAAACCAGUUCAUGCAUCUGACCAACUACAGUGUCAACAAGAAGAGUAGAGAUUAUGUCAGCUGUGAUGAUCCUGAAGUAGAGGAUUAUGGAAACAAGUGGAGCAUGAGCGCCAUGCUGAGGUACUUAAAACAAAAGGGGAGAGACACUGCAGCACUGAUGGCCAACGUGGAAGACCUGAUUAUCAAGACUGUACUUUCUGCCGAGCUGGCCAUUGCCACAGCUUGUAAAACUUUCCUUUCACAUCGUGGCAACUGCUUUGAGCUUUAUGGUUUUGAUGUCCUUAUUGAUGACACUCUUAAGCCUUGGCUGUUGGAAGUGAACCUAUCCCCAUCGUUGGCCUGCGACGCUCCUUUGGACCUGAAGAUCAAAGCUAGCAUGCUCUCAGAUAUGUUCACUCUUGUAGGUUUCGUGUGCCAGGAUCCAGGCCAGCGAUCAAGCCGGACCAUUUAUCAUUCAUCUGAAUCCGUCAGGAGAAGCGCAUAUCAGAAGCUGCAGCAUCCUGUGUCUGCACAGCCACAAACAGCAAACACCAAAUUGCGCACCCGCCCUCUGUCUGCCAGUGAUGCUGAAAUUAAAACCCUAAUGCCUUCAGGCAGGGAAAAAGCAACAGGAAGGCAAGGCAGCUCUGUGCUAGGUCUCUCCAUGGAACAGAUAAAAGUUCUUCGUCGAGUGAGAGAGGAAGAUGAACGGAGAGGUGGCUUCGUCCGUAUAUUCCCUACCCCAUUAACAUGGGACCUUUAUGGAUCCUUUUUAGAGCACAAGACAUCGAUGAACUACAUGCUGGCUACACAUCUGUUCCAAGACAGGGGCAGGACGAGAAGAGACCUCAUCACUGGGAGAUCCCGAGCAGGUCUUAAUGGAAGGCUGGAUAUGAGACUGGAAGCUGUAGAUUCUCAUGCUCCCUUUUAUGAGAGAAAGCUUGUUUCACUGGAGUUACGGAAGCGCCAGCGAUGUCGGGGCAAGGCUAGAGCAGCACGGACAAAAUCAUCAGGGACAUCAAAACCAACAAAGUUGUCUCUCAAGUUGGACACAGAAGGUGAAGAGGAAGAAGACGUUGAUGCAGAUAUAGAUAAAGAACUGGGUAGAACUGUUGGCUCACUUUCAGGCACCCAGGUGAAAAGCAAACCAAAACUCUCCAACUUGGUGAAAACUACUUGUAACGAGGGCUUGCCAAAAAAAUUUGACAAGAAAACUGGAGAUGGAGAUCAGUUUCUUCAAAAAACAGACUCGGAAUCUCAGUUUAACCUGCUGCAGGUUCUUCAAAAGCAUGGAAACCUGAGCAAAGUGCAAGCUCGAAGGGCUUUCUCUGCCUAUCUACAGCACGUUCAGUUACGACUGAUGAAGGAGGCUGGUGUCCAAAUCCAGAAUCCUGCCUGGACCGCCAAGGAGGAUGAGCAAAUGGAGCUUGUAGUACGCUUUUUGAAGCGAGCUGCCAGCAAUCUUCAGCAGUCCUUGAGGAUGAUGCUCCCCAGCCGUCGUUUGGGAUUAAAUGAUCGUCUUCGUAUCCUGGCUCACCAGCUGGGCGAGUUCAUUGUCUCGUAUAACAAGGAAACAGAGCAGAUGGUUCAGAAACGGUCAGAAAAGAAACAGGAAGAGGAGGAGGAGGGAGUGAAUCCUGAAGGUUUUCAGAACUUCAUUACCAGAGCGAGUGAAAGUGACCUGGAGGAAGUGCUGACAUUUUAUACGCACAAAAACAAGUCAGCAAAUGUCUUCCUAGGAACGAAGUCCACAAGCAGAAAACCCAGCAACACCAGUAACCAGUCAGAGAAACAGCCUCAAGGUGAGCAUCCUGAGGUGGUGAGAAAAAUAAAAAGUGAUGAGCCCAAAACUUCAGUUGCAGAUCUGCCUGCAGAAAGAGUUUUAAAAGGCUGUAAACCCAAAGAAGUUCAAUCAUCCUUUCCAGAAGGACCCACCUUCUCCUUAAAUGCUGAAGUAAAAUUACCUCCUUGUGGCCAUCGUCGUGCUUCUUCCUCUGCUUCUGGUGCCACGUUCCAGAGAAGUACCAAUUCCUGGGUACCAUCUCAGCCUGCAGCCUCUGAAAACUCACAGAUGCCUGGUCACCGUUCAUUGCCGGCCCCUCCAGUUGGUCCUAGGCUGAUUCAGCCCUCGUCCCCACCACCAUCCUCGCAAAGCACAGCUCCUGACAGCUCUUCUGUCUCCACAAACCCAGUGCCCAGUGAGGCUUCUAACCUUGGAGGGUUACAUCGUUGUUAUUCUGGGAGCUGCACUAUGGGCCCGUUCUCAUCUUUUCCAAGAGCUGCUCAGAUCUACAACCAAAGAUUUUCCCGACCAUCCUCUGCAAAAGUAGGUUUGUGCCAUCGCAGUCCAAGUGGGCAGCGUGUGGGCUCAGCCAAGAUGCACAAAGAUGCAGAAGAUCCUUCUUCCCAGGGCAAAGGUUGCAGCCUCAGUGCGAUAGCAGCAGAACUGCAGCAGCUGGCAGAAAAGCAAGCGGCCUGUCAGUCUCCCCCACUGAGCCACAUCAGUCUCCUUACACAGCAGUUAACAAACCUGAACUUGGCAAGUGGAGCUAUAAGCAAGGGGAAUGCAGCUUCCCCACAGAGCUAUCAAUCACCAGUCAACAAAAGAGGGUCAUUGUGGGCUGUUCAGUCAGACACUCAUAAAGCUGAUAAAAGAUCUGUGUCUUCAGCAGUCAGGGCUCCAGAGAAUCAUCGUUUUGACUGGGAAGGAGAGAUGGACAAUAGUAUCUACAACAAGGUGACACAGAGUCCGCUGGCACACCCCAACUAUCAGCUCCAUUUUGCUGUGCAGCAACUUCAGCAGCAGAAACUUCAGUCACAACAGCUAUUGGAGCAAAGGCAAGCCCAGCAUCAGGCUCUCUUUGCCAACUGCUCCCAAUCCAGUACCAGCCAUAUAGCCGUGCCAGCUGGCUCGGAUGCCCGCAAGACAUCAAGUGCCACUUCUAGUAACAAGAAGGCAGCCAGUUUGCACAAAGUGAUGCCAUCCCAGAGUACGCCUUCUCAGUUGGUUCCAAAGCCUCCGGCAAACCACAGGCAGGCAGUGGUCAGAAAGGCUGCAGCCCGGAGGAUUUCCAAGGUGACCUCCACUGAAAGGCAACUGAACAGAUUCCAGAACAGCCUUCACAGUGCCGCAUCCUGUGAUCCAGAGACAAAUUCCUCAGGAGCCUGCAGACAGGAACAGUCUGAAAGUAUGGUUAAGAAAGCACACUUGUGGAGUGGAUGCGCAGGGAGAUCACCGCAGCUGAUUUUCUUUGGCUUGGUUUGAUUUGUAAAGGUCUGUAUCUGAGUUUAGCUGCAGGACGAUGCACAGUUGUCUGUUUACUUUGGACAUUCACCUGGCUCCCAUAUCUGCGUGAAUGCCAAGUACUGAAGCCUCUGCUUGUGGAGAAGGUCUAACACUGAACACUAGGUGAGGAAUCCAGAGUGCCUCAAGUAUGGGGAAAAGGAAAAAGCAGCAGUGACUUCAUACCACCACGUUCCCAUAACACUUGGGGAAAAAGUGAAGAGGAGGCCUCGGUGAGAGGACCCACUGAGGAGAGCACCUGAACGUCUGUGGAAGCUGACGAUACACGUGAAAGCUGAGUUGAAUGAUUUCCUCUGAGAGCUUCUGCUGCUGAGUCUUGGGGGUUCCUUCCUCCCAUCUCUUCGUGAUCACUAACCGUGAGAUCUUUUUAUAAGAUGGAGGUCCUCCAGCUGUCUGUAUUGUUCUUCCUAAAGUCCAAGUUUGAACACAAAGUCUCAUUUGUUCAGCCGUUACAGUCUGUCCUACUCUGCUAACAGCCAAGAUUCUCUGCUCUCAUUACGUGGCAACCAACAGCAGAGAAAAAUAUUAGAAUAUAUGACUGGAGACAUCCAUGGUGGUCACCAUCCUGAAUUUUGACAUAGAGUCAUAGAAAUGGUUGGUUUGAAUAAAUUCAUUUCAUUUGUUUGUUUUGGUUAUCAUUUCGGUUAUUAAUUCACACCCCCAAAAUAUUUGCUGUUGUUAUAUCGGACAAGAUUUUAGAUCUGUCUUUGUUUCACUGUUGGAUGCUCAUGUUCUGUGUGGCUUAUUUUUGUAUUUUGAUUACCGUUUGGGUAGGCUUUAUAAACGUUUAAAAUUGGCUGAUGUUUUCAGACCCAAGCUUGAACCCCAAGGCCCAGGUGGCUCCUGUCAGUUGCAAUACUGGCUUGGUGAAGCAGUCCAGUUAAAAUUUGCCUAAUGCUAUGAGAAUUAAUUUGCUUGCGUUAGAAAACAACAUCAGCAGCUGGAAAAUGUAUUAGAGAGAAGAUCCACCCAUCCUUAAAAUGAAUAGGAAGCAGCUUUGGCUCUGGCUCUUUGUUGGUGCCAGGUUAAAAGGAAAAGUCAGUAUUUUGUAACUUCUGCCUUGUCAAACAGCAAAAGCUGUGGCUGUAAUUCUCAAAGGGUACAAAAUCUCCCCUUUUUUUGUAUCAGAGCACUCAGAGAUGGGUUCUAACAGCCAGUUUGAUCUGUUUUCUUAUUCCACAGCUCUAGCCUGUGUAGUCAGUGUUAAGAAACCGUGGUCGUGUGUUGGCAAGUAGAUAAUGAUCAGCCCAAAUGGCUGACAGAAGAAACAGUGUCAGAGGGGGAAAGUGUUUUCUCUUGAAAUGACUGUUUUCAUGUUCACUCUUGGACUGUGCAUAUUUUCUGUCAUUCAAGACCAGAUAAAUUGUGAGAAGAUGAAAUAAUUAUAUUCAUACCCUGUUGGUUUCACUGUUGCUUACUCCAGGCAUGAAUUCGUAGAAAAGAACAUGCAUUUUUCUAGUUCUGUUCCACUCAUGCAUAUGACAGACAUUGGCUACUUCAUUUAUCCAAAAUGCAGUUCUUGGAUGUAGUUGUUCCCUUUCUUAUUUCAUUGGCUUAUCUUUCAUUUCCUAGACAGUUGUGAUCCUGCUCGCUUUCAGCUGUGUUCUUCAAGAAACUCCACAGCAUUUAUCGUCUCGUGUUGUCAGUGACCAAGAGAUACGUUAAAAAAAACCCCCACACUACUCUUGAAGUAGUUAUACCUUCAGAUCCUGUCCUGCUGUCUGUAAGCACUGAAUUCCACCCAUACAUCUCCGAAAUGGCUGUUUCUACUCCUGCAUGAAGUUGUUGGCUCAUGAUUAGUGAAAACUUAAUUGUAGAAGUUGCUACUUUGAACGCCUGCAGCUCCCCAGCAGCUGUGGGCUUCAAGACCUUGGAUCUAUCUUCUCAUAGCCUACUCUGCUACGUGUGGCGAUGUUUGCUGUAGCCCCCAGCUCUGAUCCAGAAUUGUCAGAGGGCUAUUUUGCUGCAAGGUUUAGCUUCAGUAAAUAACGGAUUCCAUUCCUUUCUUCCUCCCAGGGGUUCUGAGGUAUCCUUAUUCCACUGUGUUUCAUGUGUGGGAUCAAAUCGCUGCAGGUUAUCCAUCCUUGUGGAACUCUCGUCUCUGUUUUCGCUCUGUAGCUUCUUCAUUCAAGUCGUCACAGCCACCACUAAAAACUGUGGAAGGGUUUGGAGGGUAUAGAUUUACCCUAGCCCAGGAGAGGUGUUGUCUUCAGAAGAUCGUUGGCAGAAACAGCAUUCUUCCAUCUUUGUCUGGCAAAUGACCAGUUAGUGCUGGCUUAUUGUGAACAUAGCUUGUUUUGUCAGCUUUGCUGGUCUCCCACCCACUGGUUUUGGGAUAGUGAUUUCUGCUCAGUUAUAGCCAGUGUGUCUUCUCAACUUUUCUGCCUUGCAUAUUGGCUGUAGCCAACGCCACGUGUUAGACCGGCCAGAGCAUCAAAGGAAAUAGCAGUACUACUUUUGCUUGGGCAUCUGCUGAUCCCAGCUCUGAGCACAGAUGCUAUUACUUUGGGAGCACGAGUAAUAGAGAAUCAGGAACAAAUCCUGCAAUUCCUUAUUUUUUCCAUCUCUGUGUACUCCUCAGCCUGGAGUCCGUGUAUGUCUCUGUGCGUGGUGGCUACUGCAUACUGAAGGAUAACGUGUAUU